GGCGGACGGGUGAGUAACACGUAGGUAACCUGCCCCGGAGCGGGGGAUAACAUUUGGAAACAGAUGCUAAUACCGCAUAACAACAAAAGCCACAUGGCUUUUGUUUGAAAGAUGGCUUCGGCUAUCACUCUGGGAUGGACCUGCGGUGCAUUAGCUAGUUGGUAAGGUAACGGCUUACCAAGGCGAUGAUGCAUAGCCGAGUUGAGAGACUGAUCGGCCACAAUGGAACUGAGACAC
rnacentral:rRNA from 1 species